rnacentral:lncRNA from 1 species
UUUUUUUUUUUUUUUCCUUUUAGGGCCACACCUGCAGCAUAUGGAAGUUUCCAGACUAGCAGUCGAAUCGAGCUGCAGCUGUCGGUCUACGCCACAGCCACGCCAGAUCUGAACUGCAUUUGAGAUCUACACCGAAGCUCAUGGCAAGGCUGGAUCCUUAACCCACUGAGCAAGGCCAGGGAAUCAAACCUGCAUCCUCGUGGAUACGAGUUGGGUUCUCUACCAGUGAGCCACAACGGGAGCUCCCUGCUGAAUUCUUCUGAGAAUCCCAUUCUGGGAGCUGAAGGCUCAGUUGGUGGAAUUCAGUUAGAGCCGCCCUCGCACAUUCUUACAGCUGGUUAAGGGGGCGUGUGCCCUGAGGCCAGAAUGAAGAUUGGGGAAGGAGAAGUUAUAGGGGCCUUGCCUUUUAAUGCAAGAGACAGCGGCCUUCACGUUAUCCUACAAGGGUCCAGGGACCAUCAAAGGUUAUGCACCCAGGGUUUACACGUCCCAGGUUGCGAGAAAAACAACAACCAAAAACUCCUGCAACAACAUAGAGUUGGCUUUGGAAGGUGUACCCCUCAAGGCAGGUGGCCCCCAAGAUCCAAGCUCUAGUCCAGGCAGUGAGAAGGAGGAGCAGGUGCCCAGCCAUCUGGAGUCAUAGCAUUUCCGGUGGGGAGCCACCAGAAUAGAACAGGAGGAGGAGAAGGACGCGUUCAGGCUUUGGGCUCUAGAGCAGACUUAGGAGCUGCAAGAACGUCACAUAGGAGAGAGGUGACCAGGGAUAAGACCCGGGCCGUAACCAAGAGGGGGCCUCGGAUGUGAACCGACCGCCGAGAGAGAAGUUAGGCCGGGGGCUGAAGGUACUGUCACUCACCAUGUCAAGAAGCUUGUUAAUGACCUUCCGCUCUAGAGAUUCCCCAGGGACUUCAGACUCCUGUUGUCCACCAAUUGGGACAACACUCAAGUAGCAAAGGUGGAAUCUGCAUGAAAAUGCAGAUGGUGAUUCAUCCCAUGCUCUUAGCUCUCUCCACUCAGGUGUUUCUUUUGUAUCAGUGCAGACAGAUUAGCGGGGGCCUCCCAGAAAUCAGGUUCCCAAAUCUACUUCCCACUUAGAAAGUACGAGGGGUCUGCUGCCUUGCCACCGCUUCGUGUAUUUCAGCAAAUAUAAAAACUAGUCUGCAGGCUCAGGGGAGAUCCAUUUACAGCUUCUCAAAGGGGUUUGUAAAUUCCUGUGAGAGAGACAUCAAUAUGGCCAUGUAGUAAUUCUUAAAUGGAUGAGUGCCUUUUAAUUAUCAUAAUAAACAUCUUUGAAGUAACAGUCUUCCUAUAAAAAGUAAAUACACCCAUGCCUAUUGCAAAAUAGUGAUUUCUGCAUAUGGAUCUAAGUAAAUAAAUUGUUAUCAUCAUAUUUUAUAUGCUAGUCUAACCAUGCAGAGCCUGCAGAAGCCCUGAUACUAUUGUUUCAGCAAUUUUCUUAGUUUCCUUUUAUUCCUUAUGAAGCUAGCAUUCCACGCCUUGAAGGACAAAGGAGGGCUGCUUAAAACAUCUGUCUGACCUCAUGCGGCCCUACUGAAUCAGAGUCUUAGGGGCAGAGGGGUUGGGCGUCGCUAUUUUUAAUUCACCCUCUUGAAUAAUUUCCAUUUACCCAAAUGCUUGAGAAUAUUGGCUUUUAGAGGUUAAAAGAUGGCCUGUGAACAUAAAGUAGUAAUGUCACAGCUCCUGUAUGGUCCGCCACCAUUCCGGAAAGAUUCAUAUUCAUGACUUUACCCCCAAUCUAAGUCGCUCCCUGUGUGGGCUCCCAAGAAGCUCUCAAAUCCCCAGAUGCCACCCUAUCAACACAUCGGCUGCAGGCUGGGUUCUCCCUGGCCUCCCUGGGGAAGUCCUCAGUCCUGGACCCCCCCUUCUAGGUUGAGUGCUGCCCUGACUCUCUGUGUCUCUACAGGACCCACCCCUCAGACACUGAACCCACAAAGCUGGUCCAACCAGCUCUCAGCUACUCUCUAAAAAAACAGUUAUUUGCAAAUAUUCUCCCUGCCAAGCUGAGCUCCCUGCUUUAGAUGAGCGAAAGGCACUGGAUAUCAGAAUGAAUAAUGAAGAGGAAUGAAUAAGUGACUUGGAAAAUAGAACAAUGGAAAUCACCCACCUAAAAGAAAGCAAUACUGUGCAGGCAUUUUGGUAUUUCCAGGCACAAAUCUCACAUCAUGUUUAUCCUCUCUUUAAUUUUAUGUGAAGUUUCUCAUCAUUAUCUGGCAAAGGGUAGGAAGAAACUGGAAGGUCAGAACUAAUCACAACUUUCUCACUCCUAAAUGGUUAGGAAAGGAGCCAGUGCCCUAGUGGGACACUCAUAGAUAUAAGUUUGUCCUGAAUCCUACAACUGGCAUGUAUACAUUAUGCAGGUGCAAACUUCCUCCUUGAUCACCAAUGUAAAGUGUAUUUGGAAAAGUUCUCUCUGCAGCUUCCCAAGCUCCAGGCUGACCAUUGGUCUCCAGGGCAGCUGGGGAGCUAGAACUACUGCAGGCGCCCUCCUUUCAUAUCCAUCUGGCUACAUGUGCAGUAUUCCUGCCACAGAUCUGGAGUGGUUUAAUGAAACCCUCCACAACAGUUUACCAUAUCUUCAUAUGCAGUUGAAAAUCAAUUCGUAUCCAGAUCAAGAUGGCAGAGGAGUAGGAUGUUGAUCUCACUUUCUCACACAAACACAUUAAAAAAAAAAUCUACAUGUAAAAUAAUUCUCACAGAACAUCUACUGAGUGCUGGCAGAAGACCUCAGACUUCAACAAAGGGCAAGAAAACUUCCAGAUAACUGGGUAGAAUGGAAGGGAAAAUGAGAGAGAGAAAAGAGUGCAUCGGGGGAAGGAAUCAAGAUAGGACUAGCACACUGGAGAGGGAGUUGUGAAAGAGGAAGUGAAUCUGCCCCCUGGGAGGCCACUUAACUGGUGAGGAGAUGAGCCAGCACAGAGGGGUAGCCCUAACACCUUAAAGAAAAAUGCAGCAGCUGGUUGGAGGUGGGCAAAGCAGAGAGAGAGAGCCAUACAGACAUAUCAGUUCCAAUGCCUGGCACAACAGAGCCUGAGAUAAUUGGGUGGGGGCAAGGCACUGAGUCUCAGGCUUCAGAGUAAGAAAAAUAUAAGAAAAUGAAGAAGCACAGGAACAAUACUGAGUUAAAAGAACAGAAGAAUUUCCCUGUGGGAGCAAACUUUGAAAUAGACCCCUGCAGUCUAACAGACACUGAGUUCAAAAGGAGAUAAUGAAAUACUGAAGGAAUUAAGAGUGGUUAUCAACAGUAACACAGAUUACUUUUAAAGGAGACUAGAAAUUAUAAAGAGCCAAGAAAAAUUAGAAAAUUCAUUUGCCAAGAUGAAAGCUGAGCUAAAGGCACUGAAUAUCAGAGUGAAUAAUGAAGAGGAAUGAAUAAGUGACUUGGAAAGUAGUACAAUGGAAAUCACCCACCUAAAAGAAAGCAAUAUGAGAUCUAUGGAAUAAUAUAAAGCAUGCAAAUCUAUGCAUAAUAGGGAUCCCAGAAGGAGAGGAAAGAGAAAAGAGGAUUGAAAAAAUAUUUGAAAAUUAUGUCUGAAAAGUUUCCAGAUCUAAAAAAGUAAGAGAGGAGUUCCCAUCAUCAUCAGUGGAAACAAACCCAACUAGUAGCCAUGAGGACUCAGGUUAAAUCCCUGGCCUUGCUCAGUGGGUUAAGGAUCUGGUGUUGCCAUGAGCCGUACUGUGGGUCACAGACACAACGCAGACCUGGCUUUGCUUUGGCUAUAGCGUAGAUUGGCAACUGUGGCUCCAAUUUGACCUGGGAACUUUCAUACGCCAGAAGUGUGGCCCUAAAAAGACACAAAUAAAAAUAAAAAAUAAAAAAGGAAAGAUAUAUCCAGAUACAGGACACACAGAGGGUUACCAAUAAGAUCAUCCCAAAGGGAUCUACACCAAGACAUAUUAUAAUAAAAAUGGCAAAAGUAAAGUAAGGAGAGGGUUCUAAAGGCAGUGAUAGAAAAGCAAAGAGCUAAUUACAUAGGAACCACCGUAAGAUUAUCAGCUGAUUUCUCUACAGAAACACCACAGACCAGAAAAGAGUGGCAAGAUACAUAAAAUGUUCUAAAAGGAAAAAAAUUUGCAACCUAGAAUACUCUACCCAGUAAGAUUAUCAUUUAAAAUAGAAGGAGAAAUGAAUUUCUCAGGCAUGCAAAAACUAAAAGAAUACAGCAACACUAAACCUACCCUAAAAGAAAUAUUGACAGAUUUCCUCUAAAUAGGAAAGAAGUUAGAUGAUAUAGGAUGGAGGAAAUAAAAAUUAGAAAGUAAUCACUUAAAUAAGACAAUAUACAAGUCAAAAAGAAACAACAACAAACCUAUAUGUGAAAAUGAUGAUAAACAUAAGGAACAGCAAAAUAAUAGACGUGAAGUUGUAAAAAAGGGCAUCAAUAUCAUAAAAUAUAGGGGAAAAGAGUAAGAAAUCUAUAUAUAUAUUUUUUUAAGAAUAGGUCUGCAUCUAUAUGACUACCAGUCUAAAGCAUGCAGAUAUAGGAAGGGGUUAACAUACUUGAAAGCAGGUUAGAUACAUUUAGUCAAAUCAAAAAUAAACAACAGAUCCUGAAAACCUGAAAAUAAGAGGACACAAGCAUAACAUAAAAGGAAAUCAUAAAAUAAAAAAGAAAGAUAAAGGAACAAAGGAGAAACAUGGAAUCAACUGGAAAAUAAGGUUUAAAAUGGCAAUAAAUUCAUAUCUAUCAAUAAUUAUGUUAAAUGUCAAUGGACCAAAUACUCCUAUCAAAAGAAUGGAAGAUUGGAUAAAAAAACAGGAGCCUACAAUAUGCUGCCUACAAGAGACCCAAGGAACACACAUACAUUGAAAAUUAGGGAAUGGAUAGAGAUAUUUCAUGCAAAUGGAAAUGAUAAAAAAGCAGGAGUCACAAUACUCAUAUCUGACAAAAUAGACUUUAAAGCAAAGGCCAUAGAGAAAGAUAAAGACUGACCCUAGUUAACGAUGGAGAAAUCAAUUCAAGAAGAGGAUAA